rnacentral:rRNA from 1 species
AGAUUGAACGCUGGCGGCAUGCUUUACACAUGCAAGUCGAGCGGCAGCGCGGGGGCAACCCUGGCGGCGAGCGGCGAACGGGUGAGGAAUGCAUCGGAACGUGUCCCGUAGAGGGGGAUAGCUCGGCGAAAGCCGGAUUAAUACCGCAUAUGCUCUAUGGAGGAAAGCAGGGGACCAGUAAUGGCCUUGCGCUAUGGGAGCGGCCGAUGCCCGAUUAGCUUGUUGGUGAGGUAAAGGCUUACCAAGGCGACGAUCGGUAGCUGGUCUGAGAGGAUGAUCAGCCACACUGGGACUGAGACACGGCCCAGACUCCUACGGGAGGCAGCAGUGGGGAAUUUUGGACAAUGGGGGCAACCCUGAUGGAGCGACGCCGCGUGGAGGAUAAGGUCUUCGGAUUGUAAACUCCUGUCAUGCGAGAACAAGCCCGCAAGGGUGUGAUAGUAUCGCAAGAGGAAGAGACGGCUAACUCUGUGCCACG